rnacentral:rRNA from 1 species
ACAGCAGCAGCCGCGGUAACACGUAGGGUGCAAGCGUUAAUCGGAAUUACUGGGCGUAAAGCGUGCGCAGGCGGUUAUAUAAGACAGAUGUGAAAUCCCCGGGCUCAACCUGGGAACUGCAUUUGUGACUGUAUAGCUAGAGUACGGCAGAGGGGGAUGGAAUUCCGCGUGUAGCAGUGAAAUGCGUAGAUAUGCGGAGGAACACCGAUGGCGAAGGCAAUCCCCUGGGCCUGUACUGACGCUCAUGCACGAAAGCGUGGGGAGCAAACAGGAUUAGAUACCCCAGUAGUCCCUGUCUCUUAUAC